GUGCAGCAGGCGAGAAAACUUCACACUGUGCGAAAGCACGAUGAGGGAAUCCCAAGUGCUUGCACGUAAGUGUAAGCUGUUUCUCUGUUUAAAACGCAGAGAGAGUAAGGGCUGGGUAAGACGGGUGCCAGCCGCCGCGGUAAUACCUGCAGCUCAAGUGGUGACCGUUAUUAUUGGGCCUAAAACGUCCGUAGCCGGUUUAAUAAAUGUCUGGGUAAAUCGUGUAGCUUAACUAUACGAAUUCCGGGUAGACUGUUAAACUCGAGACCGGGAGAAGUUAGAGGUACUCCUGGGGUAGAGGUGAAAUUCUGUAAUCCUAGGGGGACCACCAGUGGCGAAGGCGUCUAACUAGAACGGGUCUGACGGUGGGGGACGAAGCCCUGGGGCGCAAACGGGAUUAGAUACCC
rnacentral:rRNA from 1 species